UUUAUAUAUUUUUGUUAACUAUUGUUGGACUAGCCCACUUUUAGGGAUCCUACUGUUCAUAUUAUAGCCAAUGGCUUUUAAAAAUUUUACUAAUAAAAAUAUUCCUUUGCUCGUGAAGCGAGCCUGACGGUCUAUCUUGAUGUGACUAUCUUAUUCAAUGUUUCUGGUUUUGAGGAAAGCAUUUUCCCAUCAUUUCAAACGUAAGU